AUUGAACGCUGGCGGCAGGCCUAACACAUGCAAGUCGAGCGAGCGGCGGACGGGUGAGUAAUGUCUGGGAAACUGCCUGUUGGAGGGGGAUAACUACUGGAAACGGUAGCUAAUACCGCAUACCAUCAGAUGUGCCCAGAUGGGAUGAGCUAGUAGGUGGGGUAAUGGCUUACCUAGGCGACGAGCCCUAGCUUGUCUGAGAGGAUGACCAGCCACACUGGAACUGAGACACGGUCCAGACUCCGACGGGAGGCAGCAGUGGGGAAUAUUGCACAAUGGGCGAAAGCCUGAUGCAGCCAUGCCGCGUGUGUGAAGAAGGCUUUCGGGUUGUAAAGCACUGUCAGCGGGGAGGCGUUACCCGCAGAAGAAGCACCGGCUAACUCCGUGCCAGCAGCCGCGGUAAUAC
rnacentral:rRNA from 1 species